CUUUACUGUAGCCUGGUAUUGGGUUCGGGCUUGACUUGCGCAGGAUAGGUGGGAGGCUAUGAGAUUAUCCUUGUGGGGAUGAUGGAGCCGCCAGUGAGAUACCACUCUAGUCAGGCUAGAAUUCUAACCGCUUGCCGUAAUCCGGCAGUGGAACCGUAUCAGGUGGGCAGUUUGACUGGGGCGGUCGCCUCCUAAAAGGUAACGGAGGCGCACAAAGGUUUCCUCAGGCUGGUUGGAAAUCAGCCGGAGAGUGUAAAGGCACAAGGAAGCUUGACUGCAAGAGGGACAACUCAAGCAGGGUGGAAACACGGUCUUAGUGAUCCGACGGCACUGUGUGGAAGGGCCGUCGCUCAACGGAUAAAAGUUA
rnacentral:rRNA from 1 species